rnacentral:rRNA from 1 species
GAGUUUGAUCCUGGCUCAGGACGAACGCUGGCGGCGUGCCUAACACAUGCAAGUCGAACGGAACUGUUUUGAAAGAUUUCUUCGGAAUGAAUUUGAUUUAGUUUAGUGGCGGACGGGUGAGUAACGCGUGAGUAACCUGCCUUCAAGAGGGGGAUAACAUUCUGAAAAGGAUGCUAAUACCGCAUGACAUAUCGGAACCACAUGGUUCUGAUAUCAAAGAUUUUAUCGCUUGAAGACGGACUCGCGUCCGAUUAGUUAGUUGGUGAGGUAACGGCUCACCAAGACCGCGAUCGGUAGCCGGACUGAGAGGUUGAACGGCCACAUUGGGACUGAGACACGGCCCAGACUCCUACGGGAGGCAGCAGUGGGGAAUAUUGCACAAUGGGGGAAACCCUGAUGCAGCGACGCCGCGUGAAGGAAGAAGUAUCUCGGUAUGUAAACUUCUAUCAGCAGGGAAGAUAAUGACGGUACCUGACUAAGAAGCCCCGGCUAACUACGUGCCAGCCGCCGCGGUAAUAC